UAAUUUUUUAAUUUCCAUUAGUUGUUUUCAAGGUAACAGAUGAAGGAAAUCUACUACUACAAAAAGUAAGGCUACAUCAAUAUUCCCAAAGGUGCAGAAAGAGAAUCUGCCAAUCUGGCUUUGCUAUUUCUACCUCAGCAGGAAGAGCUUAACUCGUCUGCAAUCCCACUACGGAAACUAAGACUUCCUGCAUCCCAAGGCUGACAUAGUUUUCAUGGAAUCCAGCUUGCCCUACCAAAGAGACCUAUUUCAGUGAAGUCAUAAGAGUCUCUCAAAACCAACUGAUCAUCUCUGGAAUGUCAGAAUCUUCUUGAGUAGUCAGCCUUCUUAAAAACAUCAUCAUGAUGGGUCAUUUGCUCUUCAUGAUCACCAUUUUUUUUGAGCAAAUAUCCAAGCUUCCUGCUUGGUAGAGAAACCUAGGCAAGAGAGAAUGUAGCCUGGGAAGCCAUGGAUAAGAGGUUUCAGUCAUCAAUCCUGGACAGUGAUGGCAUUGAAGCCUCAAUAAUAGUUAUGGAACUGGAGUGGAAAGUAGGAUGUGGUAGGCUGGGUCUGUGUAAGCAGUUUAAAGAAAUUGAAUUUACGGAUUUGAAAUUUAGUUAAACAUUUUGGCAGAAAUCAUCACUCCAGGAAUUUUGGAAACAGUCUAAUCACACUUGAAGUUGAGGACAUCUCCUUGACUUCUUACUUAUUGAGCUCAGUUCUGAAUCCUGAAUAUCUGGGAUGCUGCCCCAGGGCAGCCUUUGUCAAUUCCUGGAUGGUUGAUAUAGCCUCGCCAAGACGCUACCUACUCUCUGUGCUUCUGGGCUUCCUAGAACACUAGGGUCCCACCACAUAUAUAUUGAUGUUGUAGGGAGAAAAAAAAAGUAUGGUGGUCAAAAUCUUUGGGAAAUAGUGGUUUAAAUGUUCAACAGGUUUAUUAUUUAUUACAGGACUUCUCAGAGGUUUUAAUAAGCUCAUAUAUGCUAUGAAUCUUUAGGAGAAGCAUCUAGCAUGAACUGUUUUUCAAAAGUAUUUGACCAGGGAUUUUUUUUCUUUUGUUUCUUUCUCUUUUUUUUUUUUUUUUGGUGAGGAAGAUUAGCCCUGAGCUAACAUCUGUUGCCAAUCCUCCUCUUUUUUUUUGGUGAGGAAGAUUGGCCCUGGGCUAACAACCGUGCCCAUCUUCCUCUACUUUAUAUAUGGGAUGCCUGCCACAGCAUGGCUUGAUAAGUAGUGUGUAGGUCCACACCCGGGAUCUGAA